UCGUGUACAUGGUGGAAUGUGCGUUUGGAUCCACUUGAUUUGCCACCUCAAUUAAUGAGGGAGAUCAAGUGGUCCACAUUUUUUCUGAAUAUUUGAAUUUCAUUUUAUUUCCUUUAAUUUCAUUAGUUCAUAUUAAUUUUAAUAUUGAUCCAAAAAAUAUGGGAGUUUCACCAAUUUUUUUUAAAUAAAAUCCUCUUUCAUUUUCUGAAUUAAAA
rnacentral:lncRNA from 1 species